rnacentral:rRNA from 1 species
AAAAGAAACCAACCAGGAUUCCCUCAGUAGCGGCGAGCGAAGCGGGAAGAGCCCAGGAUGAAAACCAAAGCUUUUGUUUUGGAUUGUAUCCGGUUAAUCCUCGGUUGCGGAUGUAUGGGUAAGUCACCUGGAAAGGUGCACCGCGGAGGGUGAAAGUCCCGUCCAUCCCAUGUGUUCGCGCCGGUUACGGAUUGACUCAGGCGAGUCGGGUUGCUUGGGAAUGCAGCCCUAAUAGGUGGUAAACCGCAUCUAAGGCUAAAUAAUGGUGGGAGACCGAUAGCAAACAAGUACCGUGAGGGAAAGAUGGAAAGAACUCUGAAAAGAGAGUGCCAAGGACUUGAAACCGUCACGGGGGAAGCGAGUUGCGGAGGAUGUCUGAGAUGGUGUGCUCAGCAGCCUCUCUUCGGAGGGCUGUGCAUUCAUGCCUCUCAGGGCCGAUGCGGCUGGGGCCGCGGUGAAUUCACAUCGUGUUUCGCCCUGGUGAGGGAUCCACUUUAUGUGUGAGGGCAUCGGCGUUUCACAGCGCAACACGACCCGUCUUGAAACACGGACCAAGGAGUCUAGCGGAGCAGCGAGUCGAAGACUUAAUGAAAGUCAUGGGCGCAGUGAAAGCAAAUGUUAUAAAUUGAUCCAAAUUGAGGAGGCGUGGCGCUUUUAGCAAAAUGACCUACCUUGAGCUGCUGUGCUGGGACCCGAAAGAUGGUGAACUAUGCCGGAGUAGGGCAAAGCCAGAGGAAACUCUGGUGGAGGCUCGUAGCGGUGCUGACGUGCAAAUCGCUCGUCGAACUCGGGUAUAGGGGCGAAAGACUAAUCGAACCAUCUAGUAGCUGGUUCCCUCCGAAGUUUCUCUCAGGAUAGCGGGCUGGAGUGGUGUUGUUUCUGUGCGGUAAAGCGAAUGAUUUGCGCAUUUGGGGACCAAAGGUCCUCUGGCGAUUCUCAAACUUUAAAUGCGCGAGAGCCGUCUGGUUGCUUUACGGAACCAGGCGGGCAGAAAACGCCAGCCUUGUGGGCCACUUUUGGUAAGCAGAACUGGCGAUAAGGGAUGAACCUUAAGCACGUUAAGGCGCCGAACUACGCGCUUAUAGACCCCACAAAAGGUGUUGAUUCAUUUAGACAGCAGGAACGGUGGCCAUGGAAGUCGGAAUCCAAUAAGGAGUGUGUAACAACUCACCUGCCGAAUGCAUUAGCCCUGAAAAUGGAUGGCGCUCAAGCGCGUGGCCGACACCGUGCCGUUGGAUUUACUGAUGAAUCCGAUGAGUAGGAGGGCGUGGGGGUGCUUGGGAAGUGCGCGCGCAAGCGUGGAUGGAAGCGCCUCUAGUGCAGAUCUUGGUGGUAGUAGCAAAUAUUCAAGCGAGAUCCUUGAAGGGCGAAGUGGGGAAGGGUUCCACGCGAACAUUGAUUGGACGUGGGUGAGUCGUUCCUAAGCGAAGCGGCAAUCGCGCUUGCAUUCGCGAAAGGGAAGCCAGUUAAAAUUCUGGCGCACGGGCACGGACAUAGUGGUGACACGCAUUUUUGCAUGAUGGGUGGGGGCGAGCACGCUGGCGAGCGCCUCGGGCAGAGUUGUCUUUUCUGUUUAAAUUUCUUGUGGUUGGUGUGGAAGAACGUUAUGUUGAGAAACACAACCCGGGAUGAAGAGCGCUGCGAUUUGUGCAGCGUCCGGAGCGCGCUCGACGGCCCUUGAAACCUUGUUCUCCCAAUAGUCUCUUUGGAGGCUGAGAGUCCGUGGCGUGACGUACCGAUAACCGCAUCAGGUCCCCAGGUCUCAGACACUCUGCUCAGUAUGAAUAAUGCAGGUAAGGGAAUUCGGCAAAAUAGACCCGUAACUUUGGGAAAAGGGUUGGCUCUAGUGGUGCGUGUGGGAAAUGGUUGUUGCUUCUGGGCGCAUUGUGGGCACGGGAAGCGGGCGGAUGGCUUCGGUCUGAUGUCUGUGUCCUGAGCCUGCGGGCGUUUAGUGCUUCAAUCUACCUGCACGUUUGCACCGAACUAGAACUGCAACGGGCAAAGGGAAUCCGACUGUUUAAUUAAAACAAAGCGUUGCGAUGGCCGGGGAACGGUGAUGACGCAACGUGAUUUCUGCUCAGUGCUCUGAAUGUCAAAGUGAAGAGGUUCAAUGAAGCGCGGGUAAACAGCGGGAGUAACUAUGACUCUCUUAAGGUAGCCAAAUGCCUUGUCAUCUAAUUAGUGACGCGCAUGAAUGGAUUAACGAGAUUCCUACUGUCCCUAUCUGCUUCUAGCGAAACCACAGCCGCGGGAACGGGCGCGGUAAACUCUGCGGGGAAAGAAGACCCUGUUGAGCUUGACUCUAUUCUACAACUGUUGGACGAGUUUUGAGGUGUAGAUAUAGGUGGGAGCUUUCGGGCGACUGUGAAAUACCACUACUCUUAAUCUCGUUUUACUUAACGCGUAACAUGGGGGAACCUGGCGACAGGUCUUGUAGCGACAACACUCGGAACAUUUGUUUCUGGGUGGACCCACGCGCGUAACACUUCUAGGAGGGGAGUUUGGCUGGGGCGGCACAUCUUCUACAAGACAACGAAGGUGUCCCAAGAUAAGCUCAGUGAGAACAGAAAUCUCACGUAGCGCAAAAGGGUAAAAGCUUGUUUGAACUGCGUAGUGAAUGGCUGCGCAGAAUGCGAAAGCACGGCCUAUCGAUCCUUUCGAGAUAAUUCACGGUUUGAAGCGAGAGGUGUCAGAAAAGUUACCACAGGGAUAACUGGCUUGUGGCGGCCAAGAGCUCAAAUCGACGCCGC